AGAAGAGGGCAUACAGAGUUUGGUGACUGACCCGAGGUCACAUACCCAACCCCGAACAGAAGAACCCAGUUCCUCAUCUCCUGUCCCGUCCCCUAACAUUUCCAUUUUCUAUAUCCUGCAAGUGAUUCUAGCAUGAAAUUUUAAAUGCGAAAACAGAAACAAUCAAUGUGCCAUUAUUGUAUCCAUUUCCAGUCCCGCAGUGGCCAACUUUCGUCCAGGAGCCAUCUGUGAGAAAAUAUAAUGGUCCCUCUGCUCUACUCCUCCACCUCAGAAGCUCUUCCUACCUGUCAGUAGACUAGAAAUAGAGCCAUAGUCUGCUGAAUUGGAGCAGCCUUUAGAAGGUGAGCUGCCUUGGCCUACAGCGAAAAUCACACCCACACAGCCUUCCUGAAGUCUUCUGUUGCAGCCUCUGAUGUCUAUGGGCCAGUAUGUAUUUGGACAAAAGAAAAUGCCCAAGAGAAACAAGACGUCAAAAGAUAACCUGAGAGAGAAAACAAGAGGAAACACUAAGUGUUAAUCUAGAGACAAUGCUUGUACGCUGCCCCACAUUACUGUAACUCAG
rnacentral:lncRNA from 1 species